CCUUCUUUUUAUUUUUAAAUAGCCAUUGUGUGUGUGUGUGUGUGUGUCUGUUUGUUUGUACAUUACCUUGGUAACAGCACUACAGAAGUCCAGCGAGUGCAGGAAGUGGACGAGAGCUGGAACCUGUUGACCCAAACAUCAGCUGUGUGGUCGUCAUGGUUACCUGUUGCCAGUCGGCCUGGUCCAGACAGUGCCAGUCCUCGCUGUAAACCUGCAGCCUGGCCGGGAGAGACGAGUACAGACCAGACAGACCUGUGGCCAGCACCUGUGAACACACACACACACACACGGACACAGGGAGAAGAGGAGGAAGUUGGCGGCUCCCUGGUCCUCACUGGUGUGGAAAAACAGUUCCAGCACCGAGGGAUCCUUGACCAGAGCCACACACAGCUGGUACAACAGGAGGACAAGCUCCGCCUCCACCACACCACCGCUGUCUGCAGAGGGAACGCAGGUGGAUUAACCAAACAGCAGAAAGAGCAUGUGUUCCACGUAGUUCUGGACGGCGCUGGCUUCGUCAGCCGGGAUGGGACCGAGGCGUAACGCUCCAGAGCCGCCGCCGCCGCUACUGCUGCUGCUGCUGCUGCUGCUGCUGCUGCUAGCAUGACC